CCUACGGGAGGCAGCAGUGGGGAAUAUUGGACAAUGGGCGAAAGCCUGAUCCAGCCAUGCCGCGUGUGUGAAGAAGGCCUUCGGGUUGUAAAGCACUUUCAGUGGGGAAGAAAGCCUUGGGGCUAAUACCCUCGAGGAAGGACAUCACCCACAGAAGAAGCACCGGCUAACUCCGUGCCAGCAGCCGCGGUAAUACGGAGGGUGCGAGCGUUAAUCGGAAUUACUGGGCGUAAAGCGCGCGUAGGCGGUCUGAUAAGCCGGUUGUGAAAGCCCCGGGCUCAACCUGGGAACGGCAUCCGGAACUGGCAAGCUUGGGGUCAGGGGGGGGAGGUUGAAAUCCCGGUGUAGGGGUGAAAUUGCUAAGGAUCGGGAAGGAAACCCGGUGGCGAGGCCGGCCUCUGGACUUGACCCGGCGGUGGAGGGCGGAAGGGGGGGGAGGAAACAGGGUUAGGUACCCUUGUAGUC
rnacentral:rRNA from 1 species